AUUGAACGCUGGCGGCAGGCCUAACACAUGCAAGUCGAACGAGUGGCGGACGGGUGAGUAAUGUCUGGGGAACUGCCCGAUGGAGGGGGAUAACUACUGGAAACGGUGGCUAAUACCGCAUACUAUCGGAUGUGCCCAUAUGGGAUUAGCUAGUAGGUGGGGUAACGGCUCACCUAGGCGACGAUCCCUAGCUGGUCUGAGAGGAUGACCAGCCACACUGGAACUGAGACACGGUCCAGACUCCUACGGGAGGCAGCAGUGGGGAAUAUUGCACAAUGGGCGCAAGCCUGAUGCAGCCAUGCCGCGUGUAUGAAGAAGGCCUUAGGGUUGUAAAGUACUUUCAGCGGGGAGGCGUUACCCGCAGAAGAAGCACCGGCUAACUCCGUGCCAGCAGCCGCGGUAAUAC
rnacentral:rRNA from 1 species